rnacentral:rRNA from 1 species
GACGAACGCUGGCGGCGUGCCUAAUACAUGCAAGUAGAACGCUGAAGCUUGGUGCUUGCACCGAGCGGAUGAGUUGCGAACGGGUGAGUAACGCGUAGGUAACCUGCCUGGUAGCGGGGGAUAACUAUUGGAAACGAUAGCUAAUACCGCAUAAGAGUAGAUGUUGCAUGACAUUUGCUUAAAAGGUGCAAUUGCAUCACUACCAGAUGGACCUGCGUUGUAUUAGCUAGUUGGUGAGGUAACGGCUCACCAAGGCAACGAUACAUAGCCGACCUGAGAGGGUGAUCGGCCACACUGGGACUGAGACACGGCCCAGACUCCUACGGGAGGCAGCAGUAGGGAAUCUUCGGCAAUGGACGGAAGUCUGACCGAGCAACGCCGUGUGAGUGAAGAAGGUUUUCGGAUCGUAAAGCUCGGUUGUAAGAGAAGAACGAGUGUGAGAGUGGAAAGUUCACACUGUGACGGUAUCUUACCAGAAAGGGACGGCUAACUACGUG